AAGGACCCCGGGAGGGGAGUGAAAGAGAACCUGAAACCUUGUGCUUACAAACAGUCAAAGGACGCAAGUCUGAUGGCGUACUUUUUGUAGAACGGUCCGGCGAGUUACUAAUGCCAGCGAGGUUAAGUGGUCAGAAGCCACGGAGCCGAAGGGAAACCAAGUCUGAAUAGGGCGUAGAGUUGGUAUUAGUAGACCCGAAACCGGGUGACCUAUCCAUGUCCAGGUUGAAGGAACCGUAAAAGGUUUUGGAGGACCGAACACACAUGUGUUGAAAAACGUGGUGAUGAGGUGUGGAUAGCGGAGAAAUUCCAAUCGAACUCGGAGAUAGCUGGUUCUCCUCGAAAUAGCUUUAGGGCUAGCCUCGAGCUGGAGUCUAACGGAGGUAAAGCACUGAACUGACGCGGGGCCCAAAAAGGUUACCAACUCAUAUCAAACUAAGAAUGCCGUCAAGAUACCCUCGGGAGUCAGUCUGCGUGAGAUAAGUCGCGUGGACAAAAGGGAAAGAGCCCAGACCGACAGCUAAGGUCCCAAAGUACGUGUUAAGUGGAAAAGGAUGUGGGAUUUCAUAGACAACUAGGAUGUUGGCUUAGAAGCAGCCAUACAUUUAAAGAGUGCGUAAUAGCUCACUAGUCGAGAAAACCUGCGCCGAAAAUGUAACGGGGCUAAAACACGACACCGAAGCUACGGAUUUCCUACAAGGUAGGAAGUGGUAGAGGAGCAUCCUGCAAGGACGAAGCCAAAGUGAGAGCGAUGGUGGACGAAACAGGAGAGAGAAUGCCGGAAUGAGUAGCGAGAUACAUGUGAGAAACAUGUAGGCCGAAUAUCUAAGGAUUCCUGGGUAAAGCUAAUCUUCCCAGGGUUAGUCGGGGCCUAAGGCGAGGACGAAAGUCGUAGUCGAUGGAUAACAGGUUGAUAUUCCUGUACUACACAUAAUCAGAACUGUGGGGACGCAGGAGGAUAGGGAAACCGGGGAAUGGAAAGACCCGGUCAAGCGUAAAGCUGUGGGAGAUAGGCAAAUCCGUCUCCUGUAAGUGAAACGUGAUGAGGACUGAAAAAAAGUAAGGAAGUUUCCGAAUCCACACUGCCGAGAAAAGCCGCUAUUGCGUUAUGUGUACCCGUACCGUAAACCGACACAGGUAGAUGAGGAGAAAAUCCACAGGCCGACGGGAGAAGUGUUGUUAAGGAACUCGGCAAAAUGACCCCGUAACUUCGGGAUAAGGGGAGCCUCGCAAGAGGCCGCAGAAAAGAGGCACAAGCAACUGUUUAGCAAAAACAUAGGUCUAUGCGAAACCGUAAGGUGAAGUAUAUGGGCUGACGCCUGCCCGGUGCUGGAAGGUUAAAAGGAGAGGUCAGCGCAAGCGAAGCUUUGAAUUCAAGCCCCAGUAAACGGCGGCCGUAACUAUAACGGUCCUAAGGUAGCGAAAUUCCUUGUCAGGUAAGUUCUGACCCGCACGAAAGGCGUAAUGAUUUGUGCACUGUCUCGACAACACGCCCGGUGAAAUUGAAGAACCAGUGAAGAUACUGGUUACCCGCAACAGGACGGAAAGACCCCAUGGAGCUUUACUGCAGCCUGAUACUGGGAUUCGAUGAUAUAUGUACAGGAUAGGUGGGAGGCUAAGAAGCGAGAACGCUAGUUUUCGUGGAGCCGCCGGUGGGAUACCACUCUUAUGUCAUUGAAUUUCUAACCUGCAUCCGUAAUCCGGAUGAGGGACAAUGUCAGGCGGGCAGUUUGACUGGGGCGGUCGCCUCCUAAAAGGUAACGGAGGCGCUCGAAGGUCACCUCAGAAUGAUUGGAAACCAUUCAAAGAGUGUAAAGGCAAAAGGUGGCUUGACUGCGAGAGCGACGGCUCGAGCAGGUACGAAAGUAGGACUUAGUGAUCCGGUGGUAUUAAGUGGGA
rnacentral:rRNA from 1 species